rnacentral:rRNA from 1 species
CAGAACGAACGCUGGCGGCAUGCCUAACACAUGCAAGUCGAACGAACCCUUCGGGAGCGAGUAAAGCGGCGCACGGGUGAGUAACACGUAGGUAACCUGCCCCCCAGUCUGGAACAACUAGAGGAAACUCUAGCUAAUGCCGGAUGAGACCACGAUCCCUUCGGGGGUUGCGGCCAAAGAUGGCCUCUACUUGUAAGCUAUCGCUGAGGGAUGGGCCUGCGGGCCAUUAGCUUGUUGGUGAGGUAACGGCUCACCAAGGCUGUGAUGGCUAGCUGGUCUGAGAGGAAGACCAGCCACACUGGGACUGAGACACGGCCCAGACUCCUACGGGAGGCAGCAGUGGGGAAUAUUGCGCAAUGGGCGAAAGCCUGACGCAGCGACGCCGCGUGGGUGAUGAAGGCCUUCGGGUCGUAAAGCCCUGUCGCAGGGGAAGAAUAAGCAUCGGUAUAAUACGCCGGUGCCCUGACGGUACCCUGCAAGAAAGCACCGGCUAACUCCGUG